rnacentral:rRNA from 1 species
AUCCGAAAGACUCUCGGCAACGGAUAUCUCGGCUCUUGCAUCGAUGAAGAACGUAGCGAAAUGCGAUACUUGGUGUGAAUUGCAGAAUCCCGUGAACCAUCGAGUCUUUGAACGCAAGUUGCGCCCGAAGCCAUUAGGCUGAGGGCACGCCUGCCUGGGUGUUGCAC